AGAAAUCCCACCUCUAGAAGAGGUUUAAAAAACCCGAUAGAAAUACACAAUAAUGGAAUGCACACAAAUACCCACACAGGUUCUGGACGACAGACUGGGCUUAUUGGGAGCGAGUGGUGACUGCAGAGAGAGUUCUGGGCGAUGAAUUUUGCAAAGCUGUUUAAAGUCGACAGCCUAACAUUUAUGUUUUGAUCUAUCUGUGAAUCAUGACUUGGUAUAAAAGGCGUGGCAGCCUGCUGUGAGGGCAGGGACCCCCUGCUGGUCUGUGUGGGGGGUGAUGGUGGUCAACAUCCACACUCAGGAGAAAGAAAAGCAAGGCACUUGUAUAUCCACUCUCUCUCUAGAAACAUCCAACCGUAACUCAUGUAAAGAGCCCACAUCGAAGUGGUGACUUCACCUAAAGGCGUAGAAAAAUAGAGAUUUCCCCCGUUAAACUGCUGCUGAAUACUACUGGUUAAUGGCACUGGCCCAGAGCUCCCAGGGACAGGAGGACAGGGGGGGUGACAUUGGUGACAUCAUCCAGAGCCGCGGUGACAUCACUGAUUGCUGUUUGACAUCACUCAUAGGGUCUGGGUUUGGAAGGGCCCUGGUGGGUUUGAUAAACUGUUCAUCCCCUGAGACCUGUCAAUCGGAGGAACACCCCCCCAAAACACAACCUCCCCCCUCUGAAGAUCAUAUGAGCGCAUCAUCUAUCCCUGGUCAUAUACAGUCUCCUCUUCAUGGAAGAUUACAAAUUAAAAGGCAAACAUUCAUGGCUGACUUUAUGUGGAAGGCCGCUGGCUUUGCAUCGGUAGACGGAGGCCCUCUGCCUCAGGUGUGGAGCCUCAGGUCUGGAGGCUGAGGUCUGGAGCCUCAGGUCUGGAGCCUCAGGUCUGGAGCCUCAGGUCUGGACCCUCAGGUCUGGAGCCUCGGGUCUGGAGCCUUGGGUCUGGGGCCCCAUGAGGCCAACCGGGGGUCUGGGGCCUCAGGUCUGGAGCCCCAUGGGGCCAGGGGGUCUGGGGCCUCAGGUCUGGAGCUCCAUGGGGCCAGGGGGUCUGGGGCCUCAGGUCUGGAGCCCCUACGGGCCAGGGGGUCUGGGGCCUCAGGUCUGGAGCCCCAUGGGGCCAGGGGGUCUGGGGCCUCAGGUCUGGAGCCCCAUGGGGCCAGCGGGGGGUCAGGUGUUGGUCCAGCGUCCUCUCCGCCGUCCCGAGGGACCGGGCUCCACGGCCGUGGCUGCAGCCUCCUCAGACUCAGUGCUGUAUGUUUUAUUAAGUAUCUGAUACAAACUGGUGGAGAACUGGUAAGCCCAAAGGCUCCCAGUACCAGAUCCCAGCAGAACAGUGUCUGUGGAGGGGCGACGCCCGGCCCAUGUCCGGGGGGCCUGCCCUCCAACGGGUCCACCUGGGCCAGGGACUGGCCCUUGGGGACCAGGGGGGGCGGUUAUUGCUUCAGGAGAGGAUGGGUGGGAUGGGGUUAGGGGUCAGGGUAGAGGGGUCCAGGGUUAGGGGUGGGGUUAAGGGUCGGGUUAGAGGGGUCCAGGGUUUGGGGUGGGGUUAGGG
ensembl:lncRNA